UAUAAAAAAAUAAAAAUAGCUUCAACAUGUGUACAUUUUAUUUUUAAUCAUUUUAAAAUUUGAAUUACAAUUUUCGUUACAUUUGAUCUGUAAGAAUUCAAUUUUGAAUCAUUUUCAUUUCAAAUUGAUUCACACACAUAGCAGACGCCAACACAUCAAGCGUCAUCAAUAGCGUGGUCUAUGGUGCAAUGCUAUCGCUGGAGGAAGUUGUUUACCUUCAAUUCGGGUAGCGUCAUGAUUGGACUACCCUGAUGGCGUCAUGAUCGCUGCUGAUUGCCUUUCAAAUAGGUUUUCAGCAUUCUGCUUACACCUUUGGCAUAGAGUCACAUAUUUCACAAUCCAACAUCAAUUGGUAGCAACAGCAGCCCUUCUCUCCAUCAUCCAGAAGGGUCUGAGAUCAGUGUUGGAGAUGUGAGUGACAAUUUUAAUAUGAUGAAAUUUAUCUACCACCAAAUUUUUACUCGUGUAUUUUUACCGUGUUCCAUUCUUGUUUCUUAAAACCAUCAACAUGUUGACUUGGUCUCAUUUUUCAACCCGAUUUAAUUAAAAAACACUGUCGAGUAAACUUUCAAUCCAUUUAAAUGAUAGAGCUAGUUAGUGUUUCUUCGCUGCUCGUAUGCAUUUAUAACAGGGAGACGAAUCGAUUAUCAUCUGGAAUCCAUCAGUAUAAGACCGUUGCCCGAUUGUACAAUGAAAUUUCAUGAAUGUAUUGCAAUCGUGAAAUAUAUUCCCUCAAUAGUAUAAGCGUGUACAAAAUGUACCCCAGAUUUAACCAUUUAAUCCCAAACCCUAAUUUAAACCAUGACGAGAUCUCCUUCUGGAUAUAUAUAUAUAUAUUUUUUAGUUUUAGUUAAACCACACAACAUGUGUAAGUCUCGUUUCCCCUUGACUCAUUGUAAGGCCCGCUCUGAGCCUAUACACCUAGUAUGGCACUACCAAACGUAACUGUCUUAACCUCUUUAUCGAGGUACUGCAUUCCUCCUAAUACUCAUUUUCACUUCAAGAUCCGACCAUGUCAGAAAGUACUCAAUUCACUAGUUUUCACUAAAACAUUCCUUUAAAUCACCUGUCCAUUUUCUUCCAGGCAGAGUCAGAGAUUUCUUUUGUACCAAACAUCAUGAAUCAAAGGACGUUCUAAAACUCCUUUCGAGUAAUGACUUUGGUCUCCGAGUUCCAACGCUGAUCAAGUUAAAAAAUCACAGGUAUCCAACCGUAGAUGAGCUUGAUGUGCAUCUCAUCCGGUCAACUACAGAACGCAGAAUGAUGGAACUCUCUGAAAAUGCAAGCUUUUAAAGGGUUUUCUUGGACAAUGGAGCAAGCAAAGAGAUGUCCAUAUGUGCAUGCUCCAUCUAGAAGAUGCUGAAGGAGGGUAAGUGAUUGGUUCAAGGUCAUUGUUUCCUGAUGAAAUACACAAGGCCAGGAUUAGCAGAUAACGGGUCGAUGUGGGGGCAUUUGCUGGCUUCACAUGUUCCACUAACAAUAGACUGGUAUUUAAAUAUUUUUUCCAGUAUAACAUGGCA